ensembl:snRNA U6 U6 spliceosomal RNA
GUGCUCACUUAAGCAGCACAUAUAUUAAAAUUUGAACAAUAUAGGAAAGAUUAGUAUGGCUCCUAUGCAAGGAAGAUGCAAAAUUCAUGAAGCAGUCCAUAUUUUG